rnacentral:lncRNA from 1 species
CUCGUCGCCCCUCCGAUGCUUAAGUCAGAUAGGGAAUUUAGUGCGUGAGGCUAUAAACUGAAGAUAAUGAAAACGUACCUUGAUGUUGAGCCUUGGCCAAGUAUUUAUAGGUGUUGGUGGGGGAGCUGUAGAAUGAUUCUAUUACUGAAAGAGUCAUUUUCCCCUUAGGACUAGGUGUUAGAGUUUGAUUAGAAGUAUACUAUUAGAGUUCUAAUCGGGGAAUGAGUAGACUUAGGUGGGGUCUAUUUUUUGGAGAUUAAGUCGGGGGGUAGGGUCGGAUUAGAGAUAACCCCGACCUUAAGGAAACCCCGACCUCAAACCGGCAUGACACGCUAAGAUCAACUCGGGGGCCAUAGGUCGAGGUCAAGCAUCAUAGGCAAAUUGAGGUCUAGUUUGGGGUUACCAAUCCGGAAUCAUCAUAGGCCCCCGUGCAUCUGAACUGUAGAUCGUGCAGAGUCUAUGAUCUCGGAUUGAGAUGCAAAAAGGAUGUCGUAGCUUGAUAUCGACCUCGACACCUGUCAUUUACCUAUUGGAGAUAUACUAUGUCACGUGUCUGUCAUGUGGCUGGUUGUCAGAGCUCGAACUUGGAUCUUUGCCAUGUGUCCUAUUUUAAGGGUUUCAGAUUAAGUGACUGUUGGUAUGCCCAUGACCCCUAUAAAUACCUCACUAUUCUUUUUCACUUUUUACUCUCCACUCUCUAUAAAAGAAACUCGAGUUCGGGGAUAGUGGGUUGUGAGCGAUCGCUAUUAAGGUAAGAGUUCGAGCCUUUAAGUUGUUAAUUAUUUGAGUAGAGUAAUGUCGAGCAGUAGCAGUAGUGGUAGUAGUAGCAGCAGUAAGGGGUCGAGUAAUAGUGACAGUAGUAGGCCUUCUAAGAGUUCGGGGGAUAAUGAGAACCCUACUGCCCCUAGUAUGGCUGUCGAGACUCCGGGUGAUCAAGGUCGAGAUCUUGUCACCCUGGCCUUUCCUAUUAGCUCGCACUUUCCAAGAGAGGUAUUGACUUAUCCAAAGAACCCGACCACUUAUAAAGAACAUGUAAUUAUUAAGAUAGUUAGAGAGUUCAGGGUAAUGCCCAUUUGUGAUGUUAGGGUUCCUGAGAGUACCGAAGAUAUCUUAGGAGCUCGAGAGGGGGAGAUGACAUUUUUUAGGGAUGCCCUUAAGGCUGGGAUACAGUGGCCUCUUCACCCAUUUUUUACCCACUUUUUAACUUCGUUCUAUAUGUAUUCAGGGCAGUUGCCCCCUAACGGUUGGAGGUUGUUGGUCUAUUUCUUUAUAUUAUGUAGAUGCCUUGAUAUCGAGCCUAGGCUCGACCUUCUGAGGAUGGUGUAUGCUAUGAAGUACUCGUUGGGAUUCAACUGUUUUGUGUAUUUGUCAACCAAGGGGGGCUUUAGAAUGCCUGAGACCCCGAGCUCUCUUCGGGGUUAGAAAGAGAGAUUUUUCUUUGUAAAGCCCUAAGAUCCCGACCAUCUUUUUAGCCCGAGGUGAGAGAUCCCUAGUAAGGAUAGGUUUAAUAAGGGUCAGGCGUAUUUUGAGGUUCUAGAGAGGGACAGAUUAAGGUUAGUUA